GUGAACGCUGGCGGUAGGCCUAACACCUGCAAGUCGAACGGCAGCACCGUAAGAGCUUGCUCUUACGGGUGGCGAGUGGCGGACGGGUGAGGAAUACAUCGGAAUCUACUUUUUCGUGGGGGAUAACGUAGGGAAACUUACGCUAAUACCGCAUACGACCUACGGGUGAAAGCAGGGGAUCUUCGGACCUUGCGCGAUUGAAUGAGCCGAUGUCGGAUUAGCUAGUUGGCGGGGUAAAGGCCCACCAAGGCGACGAUCCGUAGCUGGUCUGAGAGGAUGAUCAGCCACACUGGAACUGAGACACGGUCCAGACUCCUACGGGAGGCAGCAGUGGGGAAUAUUGGACAAUGGGCGCAAGCCUGAUCCAGCCAUACCGCGUGGGUGAAGAAGGCCUUCGGGUUGUAAAGCCCUUUUGUUGGGAAAGAAAAGCAGCAGGUUAAGACCCCGCUGUUCUGACGGUACCCAAAGAAUAAGCACCGGCUAACUUCGU
rnacentral:rRNA from 1 species